GUUCAUCUAGGUACAGGGAAAGUGUGAAAUGCUUAGUUAGCUAACCUAGCUAGCUAAGCUAGGUACAACCUAGGUAGCUUAGCUAGCUAGUUAGCUAGCUAGGCUAUGUAGCUCUGUUAGCUAACUAGGCUAGGUAGCUCUGCUAGCUAACUAGGCUAGGUAGCUCUGCUAGCUAGGCUAAUUAGCUGUGCUAGCAAGUUGACCUAGGUGGCUUUGUUAGCUAGCUAGGGGUAGCUAGCCAAGCAUUCCUCGCUUUUCUCGUACUUAGUUGAACCUAAUCAGCUCGCUUCGCUCUCUAGUUAUGAAAGAUACCCCAAUAUGAAAUAAGAUAUCACGUUUUCCCAAGGUAUCUCACGUUGACCACAUGGAUGGGUCCGGGUGAGGUGGAUUUGGGUGAGGGUGGAAUUAUAAAUGCCGACCGUUAACCAGUGUUACCAACCAGGAGGACCAUAUCAAUGCAUUUUUGUACUUUUUCCACUGAUAUCAGCUACUCAGCUUCUUCAUAUUUCUAAACUUUAAUUAUACUGUUUAGCUCUACCGGUCGCCACAUUUUACUGACAAUGGAGGCGCAAACCAUAAAUGGUGCCUGGCUCCCAAUCCUACACAUUUUCAAGCCCUAACAAUUUGUACCCGAUGGCAGGUGGGAACAUUAAAUAUACUGGAGUGUUCAACGAUGUCGGAGUCGAUCUAAACCUUAUCAUGCCUCAUAAUAAGAGUGAUCCGGCUCAAAGGUGGCAAUUUUUUAGAUGCCCGGAAUAAUAUGGAACCUUCAUAAACAUGUAACGCAAAAUUUACGAUUUGUAUAUCCCUCGUAACCGCUCUCACAUCCUUUUAACAUGUGGGACAAGUUACGUAUUUUAUGCACGUCCCCUGAGCUUAGUACUUACAAUGGAACCUUUUUUCAAG